rnacentral:rRNA from 1 species
GAUUGAACGCUGGCGGCAGGCCUAACACAUGCAAGUCGAGCGGAUGACGGGAGCUUGCUCCUUGAUUCAGCGGCGGACGGGUGAGUAAUGCCUAGGAAUCUGCCUGGUAGUGGGGGACAACGUUUCGAAAGGAACGCUAAUACCGCAUACGUCCUACGGGAGAAAGCAGGGGACCUUCGGGCCUUGCGCUAUCAGAUGAGCCUAGGUCGGAUUAGCUAGUAGGUGAGGUAAUGGCUCACCUAGGCGACGAUCCGUAACUGGUCUGAGAGGAUGAUCAGUCACACUGGAACUGAGACACGGUCCAGACUCCUACGGGAGGCAGCAGUGGGGAAUAUUGGACAAUGGGCGAAAGCCUGAUCCAGCCAUGCCGCGUGUGUGAAGAAGGUCUUCGGAUUGUAAAGCACUUUAAGUUGGGAGGAAGGGCAGUAAGCUAAUACCUUGCUGUUUUGACGUUACCGACAGAAUAAGCACCGGCUAACUCUGUGCCAGCAGCCGCGGUAAUACAGAGGGUGCAAGCGUUAAUCGGAAUUACUGGGCGUAAAGCGCGCGUAGGUGGUUCGUUAAGUUGGAUGUGAAAGCCCCGGGCUCAACCUGGGAACUGCAUCCAAAACUGGCGAGCUAGAGUAUGGUAGAGGGUGGUGGAAUUUCCUGUGUAGCGGUGAAAUGCGUAGAUAUAGGAAGGAACACCAGUGGCGAAGGCGACCACCUGGACUGAUACUGACACUGAGGUGCGAAAGCGUGGGGAGCAAGCAGGAUUAGAUACCCUGGUAGUCCACGCCGUAAACUAUAUCGACUAGCCGUUGGAAUCCUUGAGAUUUUAGUGGCGCAGCUAACGCAUUAAGUGACUCGC